GAUGAACGCUAGCGGCAGGCCUAAUACAUGCAAGUCGAACGGUGUCUUCGGACAUAGUGGCGCACGGGUGCGUAACACGUAUGCAACCUACCUUACAUUGGGGGAUAGCCUUUCGAAAGGGAGAUUAAUACCGCAUAAGACAGUAGCUGGGCAUCCAGCAGCUGUUAAAGAUUUAUCGAUGUAAGCUGGGCAUGCGUCCAAUUAGCUAGUUGGUGAGGUAACGGCUCACCAAGGCAAUGAUUGGUAGGGGAACUGAGAGGUCAAUCCCCCACACUGGCACUGAGAGACGGGCCAGACUCCUACGGGAGGCAGCGGUAGGGAAUAUUGGGCAAUGGACGCAAGUCUGACCCAGCCAUGCCGCGUGCAGGAUGAAGGCGUUAUGCGUUGUAAACUGCUUUUAUACAGGAAGAAACGACUCUUGCGAGAGGCAUUGACGGUACUGUAUGAAUAAGCACCGGCUAACUCCGUGCCAGCCGCCGCCGUAAAAC
rnacentral:rRNA from 1 species